GUAAACGAUGUUCAUUCGCUGUCGGCGAUACACAGUCGGCGGCUGAGCGAAAGCAUUAAGUGAACCACCUGGGGAGUACGAUCGCAAGGUUGAAACUCAAAGGAAUUGACGGGGGCCCGCACAAGCGGAGGAACAUGUGGUUUAAUUCGAUGAUACGCGAGGAACCUUACCUGGGCUUAAAUGUAGAUUGCAUAGAGUAGAAAUAUUCUUUCCCUUCGGGGCUAUUUACAAGGUGCUGCAUGGUUGUCGUCAGCUCGUGCCGUGAGGUGUCGGGUUAAGUCCCAUAACGAGCGCAACCCUUAUCGUUAGUUGCUAGCAGGUAAUGCUGAGGACUCUAGCGAGACUGCCACCGUAAGGUGAGAGGAAGGUGGGGAUGACGUCAAAUCAGCACGGCCCUUAUGUCCAGGGCUACACACGUGUUACAAUGGCAGGUACAAAGGGCAGCUACCACGCGAGUGGAUGCUAAUCUCUAAAGCCUGUCCCAGUUCGGAUUGGAGUCUGCAACCCGACUCCAUGAAGUUGGAUUCGCUAGUAAUCGCGCAUCAGCCAUGGCGCGGUGAAUACGUUCCCGGGCCUUGUACACACCGCCCGUCAAACCAUGGGAGCUGGGGGUGCCUGAAGUC
rnacentral:rRNA from 1 species